rnacentral:lncRNA from 1 species
CUACACAAUUUCAAUUAACAACGAAACAAUUAUCAUUUUCACAUUUAAUUUAAUCACAAGAAACACAAAUAAGACAAUAAAUCUUAUACUCAAUCAACUAGAAUAAAACAUCACAUAUUAUUCAAGUAUUAACAAAUAGCACUUAAGACAAUCAUCAUUUUAACAUCCAAUCAUGAAACAAGAAUUAUAGAUGCUAAAGUCAAUACCAAUUAAAACAUAAGUCUCGAGAAUCAAAUAAAACAACACGCUAACAAAAUAACUAGCAACAAAAUUCAUGAAACUAGUCACACAUUCGCAAAACAAUUAAAUAGUGACUGAUGUGCAAGUGUAACUACAAAAAUUAAUUCACAAGAAAUCAUAACAGUUACACAGACACGACUGACAUCGCGCUCACUCGGCCUGACUGCACAGACCUGCUCUGACUGACACAUAACCCACACAGUCCGAAGACAACGGGGCUCUGAUACCACUUUGUAACAACCCUGACCCAUUAUUUAAUUUAUCUUAAUAAAAGAAUGGUUUUUCGAAACUACGCAGCGGAUAAAAAUGACUUUAAGACUCGAAGUAAAAAAUGAAUUAUAAAUCACGGUUCAAGGUGUUACAUUCUUCAUUAAAAACUCUACUAAUAAAAUUAAUUAGUAAUCAUCACUUAUACAAAAUCCUUUUAUAAAAGAUACACCUUUAAUUUAAAUAAAACAACAAAUAAAUACUCUAUGAACCCUUCCCCGUGUCACAAACAGAGCGGAGCUGUCACCAAUAACUCGAACACCAACAAACAUACAACCUGAGAACCUGAACCCCCAACGGUUCAGCACAAACAAAAAAUAGAGGGUUAGAUAAUGCAACCGUAAAGUGACUGAAUAUAAAGUAUAUCAGACACUAAAUAAAUAACAACAGUUGCAUAUAUACAACUCAUACACACAUAAACAUGUAUCAGUCAUAUUCAGACAUAAUCAAACAUGUUCAUUUGAAAGAUAAUUAGCUUAUUGCAAACAAUCAUCACUUAGCAAUAAUUAAUAUAACAUCAACUCAACAUUAUUCGGAAAACAUAAACCAAAUAAUUAAUCCUCAACAAGAGCACUAAUCACAUCAUCAUUUAGAUUAAUCACUCAUCAAUCAUUCAUCAAGUAAGAUAAAACAUAUUAUGCCACCUAACACAUAACAAGUAAGAAGCACCUUCAUCUCUUAGUGCAUCUAAUGUCUCAUACGUGCAAUGUUACCUAGACACAACUAAAUGCAUNNNNNNNNNNNNNNNNNNNNNNNNNNNNNNNNNNNNNNNNNNNNNNUCUAGAUCAUCGUCUCUAGAAUAACAGUAAACUAGAUCAUCGUCUCUAGGAUACUCAUCAAUAGACACAACUUAUGAAUGCAUGAAAUGUGUAUAUACCAAACAUAUGAUAUCAACUACCAAUACAUCAUCAUUAUAAUAUGGAUAACUUAAUCCAUCUUCAUCAUCAUCACAAAAUAUAGCAACUUAGCUAAAUUAUUCACAUCAUCAUUGUUUUAAUUAAUAACUCAAAACAUCAUUGUGAACAUCAUCAAUUUAAUCAUUAACACAUCAUUAGUUAGCUACUUAAAACAUCAUAAUUUAAUCAACAUAGAUUAAUCAUCAAGAUCCACUAAUCCAAGGAAAAUUAGAAUUAAUCCACACCAACAUAGGUUUGUAAAGCAUUUUCAUGUUAAAACAGGGCCUUGUAUCGAUACAAAACACAACUU